AGUGAACGCUGGCGGUAGGCCUAACACAUGCAAGUCGAACGGCAGCACAGUAAGAGCUUGCUCUUACGGGUGGCGAGUGGCGGACAAGUGAGGAAUACAUCGGAGUCUACUUUUUCGUGGGGGAUAACGUAGGGAAACUUACGCUAAUACCGCAUACGGCCUACGGGUGAAAGCAGGGGAUCUUCGGACCUUGCGCGAUUGAAUGAGCCGAUGUCGGAUUAGCUAGUUGGCGGGGUAAAGGCCCACCAAGGCGACGAUCCGUAGCUGGUCUGAGAGGAUGAUCAGCCACACUGGAACUGAGACACGGUCCAGACUCCUACGGGAGGCAGCAGUGGGGAAUAUUGGACAAUGGGCGAAAGCCUGAUCCAGCCAUACCGCGUGGGUGAAGAAGGCCUUCGGGUUGUAAAGCCCUUUUGUUGGGAAAGAAAAGCAGCAGGUUAAUACCCCGCUGUUCUGACGGUACCCAAAGAAUAAGCACCGGCUAACUUCGUG
rnacentral:rRNA from 1 species